rnacentral:rRNA from 1 species
UACGUAGGGGGCAAGCGUUGUCCGGAAUCAUUGGGCGUAAAGCGCGUGUAGGCGGCUCGGUAAGUCCGCUCUGAAAGUCGGGGGCUCAACCCUCGGAUGCGGGUGGAUACUGUCGGGCUAGAGUGCGGAAGAGGCGAGUGGAAUUCCUGGUGUAGCGGUGAAAUGCGCAGAUAUCAGGAGGAACACCUAUAGCGAAGGCAGCUUGCUGGGACGUUACUGACGCUAAGGCGCGAAAGCGUGGGGAGCGAACAGG